rnacentral:sRNA from 1 species
UUUUAGCCCUGAUCGAAACGGUAUCCUUUUGCUGUGGGGUUCACAGCAAAAGAUUUAGUGUAGAGCGGGACUGAUC